rnacentral:rRNA from 1 species
CCUACGGGAGGCAGCAGUGAGGAAUAUUGGUCAAUGGGCGGGAGCCUGAACCAGCCAAGUCGCGUGAGGGAAGACGGUCCUAUGGAUUGUAAACCUCUUUAGGCGGGGAGCAAUGCCGGCCACGCGUGCCCGGAGCGAGAGUACCUGCAGAAUAAGCAUCGGCUAACUCCGUGCCAGCAGCCGCGGUAAUACGGAGGAUGCGAGCGUUAUCCGGAUUUAUUGGGUUUAAAGGGUGCGUAGGCGGAAUUUUAAGUCAGCGGUAAAAUGUCGGGGCUCAACCCGGUCCUGCCGUUGGAACUGGUGUU